rnacentral:rRNA from 1 species
CAUGGCUCAGAACGUACGCUGGCGGCACGCCUAACACAUGCAAGUCGAACGCAGUAGCAAUACUGAGUGGCAGACGGGUGAGUAACAUGUGGGAAUCUGCCUUGUGGUUCAGGACAACAUUGGGAAACCGAUGCUAAUACUGGAUAAGCCCUUACGGGGAAAGUUUUAAUGCCAUAAGAUGAGCCCGCAUUUGAUUAGUUAGUUGGUGAGGUAAUGGCUCACCAAGACAAUGAUCAAUAGCUGAUCUGAGAGGAUGAUCAGCCACACUGGGACUGAGACACGGCCCAGACUCCUACGGGAGGCAGCAGUGGGGAAUCUUGCACAAUGGAGGAAACUCUGAUGCAGCGAUGCCGCGUGAGUGAAGAAGGCCUUUGGGUUGUAAAGCUCUUUUGUAGGGGAAGAUAAUGACUGUACCCUAAGAAUAAGGUCCGGCUAACUUCGUGCCAGCAGCCGCGGUAAUACGAAGGGACCUAGCGUAGUUCGGAAUUACUGGGCGUAAAGCGCGCGUAGGCCGUUGAGUUAGUUAAUUGUGAAAUCCCAAAGCUUAACUUUGGAACUGCAAUUAAAACUGCUCGACUAGAGUUUGAUAGAGGAAAGCGGAAUACAUAGUGUAGAGGUGAAAUUCGUAGAUAUUAUGUAGAACACCAGUUGCGAAGGCGGCUUUCUGGAUCAACACUGACGCUGAGGCGCGAAAGUAUGGGUAGCAAAGAGGAUUAGAUACCCUCGUAGUCCAUACCAUAAACGAUGAUUGCUAGAUGUUGGAAAUUUAUUUUCAGUAUCGCAGCUAACGCAUUAAGCAAUCCGCCUGGGG